rnacentral:rRNA from 1 species
UACGGGGGGGGCAAGCGUUGUUCGGAAUUACUGGGCGUAAAGGGCUCGUAGGCGGCCAACUAAGUCAGACGUGAAAUCCCUCGGCUUAACCGGGGAACUGCAUCUGAUACUGGAUGGCUUUAGUUCGGGAGAGGGAUGCGGAAUUCCAGGUGUAGCGGUGAAAUGCGUAGAUAUCUGGAGGAACACCGGUGGCGAAGGCGGCAUCCUGGACCGACACUGACGCUGAGGAGCGAAAGCCAGGGGAGCAAACGGG